UCCCCCGGUUCCUACGCCAAUGGUUACUUAUAUUUUAAACAACUUUUCAGCAGAUAAGAAGAUACAAUUGUUGUGUACACAUUUUACAGCUCCUGGUGCUGAUAAUAGUUCACCACUCAAAUAUAUCAUCAAAGUGGUUCCUGUGCAUUGAUAAACAUAACAGAGUAUGGCAGACAACUUAUUAGUACACAAAUAUAGCUACAGUGAGUAAAAACAUAAACCUGUACUAAAUGGACAAAUUUCACUGUGCCUCAUCCCCAGCUCCAAAAAUAUUGGGUGCAUUUUUCCAGAGAACUUUCUACCCCUCUAACCCACUCCUGAAAUUAGGCAUGGUGCUAAAAGUUUCAUGUUUGUUCCUAUUUUUAACUGAGACUGGACAAGCUGUUUGUGUUCAUUUAAACAUCUGUGUCAGCAAUAGGUGCAACUGAAAGUAACUCAAUAUAUUAAUUAUAAGGUCCACAAACAUCUGAACAUAUAAUGUACUGGUACAUCUAUGCCAAUGAAUUUUAGUAAAAACCUAAAGUGGAGUUAUGUAUCAUAACUAUGUUUUGGGAGUUGAUACACGCCCUCACUCCUCUUCCUUCCAUAUUUAAACCGUCACUUCCUACAUGCUCGUUGAACAACCUCGCACCCACCUCCUCCCCAUCUUCGUCCUUAUUUAAUAUUAUCAUUCUUUUCUCAUGUUUCUCUUCGUGAGAGGGGGGGCUUCGGCUUCAUUCUUUACAGCAAAACUCCACCCCAAAUACUCUUGAGUUCGCUUCCCCUCUUUUCUUCUUCUCUACCCAGUCAAGGCAAGGGCGUGGGUCAAUACUAGCAAAACCAAUUGUGCCUAAUAAACUGGAAAACACCUAAUAAAAUGUGUGCUUGAAAUGAUCAGAGAUCCUAAACAGCAGUUAAUUGUAUAAUUUUUCUAUUUUUUUAGUGGAUGAGCUGGAUAAACAAGAUGAUACAGGGUUACAAAAGAAGAAACGACCAAGAUUGUUACUUGAAUCUGACAAUAGUGAUCAAGGUAAAACAACUACAGUUCACUUUCCAGAAAUGUGAAAAAAAAACUACAUUACAGUACUACAUUUCUUGGACAUGUAAUAUUUCUCACAUUUAUUUUUUUAAUGCAGAUGAGCAUGUCCAGAAGAAAAGAAAACAUAAAGGAUUAACAUUACCCAAAGCACCAGAAUAUGCCCCGUCCACUUCAACGCAUCAGCAGUUACAAGAUACUCCUCCAUCUUCUACUGGCCAGCAAGAGAUUUUAAAUUUUCUGGAGGAACUUGAAAGAAAAGUGCUCCUCAAGUUCACCCAAAUGCAGGAGGAAUUCCGGGGUGCAUUUUCCAGGCUGCUGGAGAAGAGCACAGGCCAACCAAGUACCUCUACUGACACAUCGGAAUUGUUAUUGGAGCCAUGCACCUCAGUAGAGGACUUGGAAGGCCUGUGCAGUAGACUUCAGGAUACUGCAUAUCGUAAGAAGAUGAUCCUAUUUCUGAGUCUCCAGGGGGGUGGCAGCUUGGGAGAUGCUGUCAGAAGGAUGCUUCGGAAGGUGGGAUCCAACUCUCUGUGGGCAGCAUUCAGCUACAGAGGAAGAAAGGGGAAGCAAUCUUUCCAGUGCCUCCCAAUUAAUGAUGUAAUCAUACGUGCCUGCAACAAGUCCUUCCCUGAAGCAAAAACCCAGGCAAUUGAAGACUUGAUUGCUGUCACCCUUAAACAUGCCCCACAUCGUGGAAAGACAAAAAAUCAGGUAAAUCUAUGAGCCUGCAAAUAAUAAUCCUAUACUAUUACACUGUGUUUUACCACUACUACUACUACUAAUAAUAAUAAUAAUAAUAAUAAUAAUCAUAAUAAUAAUAAUCAAAAUAAUAAUAAGAAGAAGAAUAAUAAGAAUAAUCAUAAUAAGAAUAAUCAUAAUAAUCAUAAUAAUCAUUAAUGUUAAUAAUUAAAAUUUUUAUCUGU
ensembl:lncRNA